rnacentral:ncRNA from 1 species
AAAUAUGUUAUCUGCUUACCCUUCAAGAUAACAUAUCGGUUUUUAUCGAAUAUAGCGAAAUCUAUAUUCGUUUUCUACGCAAUGAUCACCCCAAUCAUUGCGUUUUUUUUAUGUUUUUUU